rnacentral:rRNA from 1 species
AACGAACGCUGGCGGCAUGCCUAACCCAUGCAAGUCGAACGAGACCUUCGGGUCUAGUGGCGCACGGGUGCGUAACGCGUGGGAACCUGCCCCUAGGUUCGGGAUAACAGUUAGAAAUGACUGCUAAUACCGGAUAAUGUCUUCGGACCAAAGAUUUAUCGCCUUUGGAUGGGCCCGCGUAAGAUUAGGUAGUUGGUGGGGUAAAGGCCUACCAAGCCGACGAUCUUUAGCUGGUCUGAGAGGAUGAUCAGCCACACUGGGACUGAGACACGGCCCAGACUCCUACGGGGGGCAGCAGUAGGGGAUGUUGGACAGUGGGCGCAAGCCUGAUCCAGCCAUGCCGCGUGCGGGAAGAAGGCCUUCGGGUUGUAAACCGCUUUUGGCAGGAACGAAACGGCGCAGGCCAAUACCUUGCGCUAAUGACGGUACCUGCAGAAUAAGCACCGGCUAACUA